AGCGGGGUGGCUCAGUGGAAAGAGCCCGGGCUUGGGAGUCGGAAGUCACGGGUUCUAACCCUGGCUCUGCCG
rfam:Ornithorhynchus anatinus chromosome 2, whole genome shotgun sequence.